CCUACGGGUGGCUGCAGUGAGGAAUAUUGGUCAAUGGACGCGAGCCUGAACCAGCCAAGUCGCGUGAAGGAUGACGGCCCUACGGGUUGUAAACUUCUUUUAUAAAGGAAUAAAGUGAGGCACGUGUGCCUUGUUGUAAGUACUUUAUGAAUAAGGAUCGGCUAACUCCGUGCCAGCAGCCGCGGUAAUACGGAGGAUGCGAGCGUUAUCCGGAUUUAUUGGGUUUAAAGGGUGCGUAGGUUGUUUUUUAAGUCAGCGGUGAAAGGUUGUGGCUCAACCAUAAAAUUGCCGUUGAAACUGGAAGACUUGAGUGUGUUUGAGGUAGGCGGAAUGCGUGGUGUAGCGGUGAAAUGCAUAGAGAUCACGCAGAACACCGAUUGCGAAGGCAGCUUACUAAGCCAUAACUGACGCUGAGGCACGAAAGCGUGGGGAUCAAACAGGAUUAGAUACCCGUGUAGUC
rnacentral:rRNA from 1 species